GGGUUUGGGCAUGUGGAUUAGGGAAUCAAGAAAGAGGAGGGGGCGGCAUAAGAUGGAUACACUAAUCUUGAUUAUUCUCUAUGUCCAAGAGUCCAUUCCUUUUAUAGAUGGUGGCCAAGGGGAUUAGAUAAAGUCUAACUAUUUUUAAACUCUUAUCUAAUAAGAGCUUGAAGUUCAAACUAAACUUAUCCAAUCCUUAGAGGA
rnacentral:lncRNA from 1 species